UUCUAUAAGAGCUAAUUUAUAGUAAAACCUGCUCAAUGUAAUUAUCAAUAGCCGCAGAUCAUCUGUGCUAAGGUAGCAUAAUCACUUGCUUCUUAAUUAGAAGAUAGAAUGAAAGGUUAAACACCUAACAUUAGUCUCCUUAAACAACAAACGAAUUUAAGAUAAAAGUAAAAACUCUUUUAUAAAUAAAGCAGGACGAUAAGACCCCGAUAAACUUUACUUUUAGUUGGGGAAACACAAUAACCAUAAUUUAUUUUCACAACUCAACAUAACUAUAAAAUUAAACAUAGAAUAGUUACUACGGGGAUAACAGCGCUAUUUCUUUUAAGAGUCCUUAUCUAAAAAGAAGUUUACGACCUCGAUGUUGAAUUAAGUUUCCCUAUGCAAAGCAACAUUUUACUAGGGUGGUCUGUUCGACCAAUAACCACUU
rnacentral:rRNA from 1 species